UCAGGAAAUGGAGCCAGAAGUGCUUGGAAUUGUCAGUGGUUCAAUAUAGCAAUGGUGGAUGCAGCUAUGAAGGUAGUUGAAUGCCAACCAAUCAAGUACACAUAGAGAAGCUGCAUCUUCGGUGAAGAUGACAAAGACGCAGGAAGCCAUUAGAUAACAUUUUUAUUACUCACAUAUUUCACACGCCAAAACAUAAAUGGAAAGUUAAAAUGAUUAAAGUUUUAA